GGCCCUUUGGCUCUGACGGUGAGAGGCAGGAGACUCGCCAAUCGCCGGGGAUCGCUGGUUCAAAUCCAGCAAGGGCCACCA
rnacentral:tRNA from 1 species